AGCCGCCAUCGGAAUCACUAUCCCUAUGUCGAGCUUUCUGCGACUUAAGUCGCAGACUCGACAAAAUUGUUAACCUUCAAAAAAUUUUUUUUUUAUAGAAUCAUGGACUAGAUUUGGCAUAUCCUUGAUUUUUCUUUCUUGUAGUAUUUUCUGGACUUUGACCUUUGUCCUUUUAAAGACAAGUAAUACACUUAGUCCUUUAGUUGCCCCUACUUUUGUCCUUUUUUAAGACAUGUAGUUGUGUUUUUCAUUCACUAAGUCCUUUAAUUGCCUUUUAAAGACAUGUAGUUGUGUUUCAUUCACUUAGUCCUUUAAUUGCCCCUAGGUACUUUCUCAUCCUUUUUCAUAUCAGCUAGUAGAAAUCUCUCUAUUAACUUAAAGAGAUACAUAUAUAAAUGUAUGUAGACUGAAUAAAUGUAGAUGUGGGAUAUAAUAAAGCAAUGAGAAUGUAACCUAACAAGACAAAAAGUGUGUUGCAUCAGUCAGCUCUUUAUACCAUAAAAUAGAUUGGUCUUAUUCAACUCACAUGAACUUAACAAUGGCAAGGGGAG
rnacentral:lncRNA from 1 species